rnacentral:guide_RNA from 1 species
AAACAAACAACACAGAGCAGAAUACAAGUGAGUAUAUGAGAAUAU